AGAAAUUAUUUCUUCGGACACUAAUACAGGUGGUGGUGGUUGUCGUCAGUUCGUAUCGUGAGUCGUUGGGUUAAGUCCCGCAACCAGCAGCACCCCCAUCUUUUAUUGCCAGCAUUUAGGAUGGGAACUAUAGAAAGACUGCCGAUCAGAAAUCGGAGGAAGGUGGGGAGGACGUCAAAUCAUCAUGCCCUAUAUGUCCUGGGCUACACACGUGCUACCAUGGUCGUUACACAGAGCAGCUACACAGCGAUGUCACGCGAAUCUCAAAAAGGCGAUCUCAGUUCGGAUUGUACUCUGCAACUCGACUACAUGAAGUCGGAGUUGCUAGUAAUCGCGAAUCAGAAUGUUGCGGUGAAUGCGUUCCCGGGUCUUGUACACACGCAACACACGCA
rnacentral:rRNA from 1 species